UCUAUGGCAUCAGGGACACCGUCCCCUUGCUGUGGUCCUACGUCUUUACACACACACCAUAAUAAAGUCUCACGGAAUGCAUGUCGCGUUUAACGCAAUACAAUACAACUUUCAGCAACGGAUCUCUUGGCUCUCGCAUCGAUGAAGAACGCAGCGAAAUGCGAUAAGUAAUGUGAAUUGCAGAAUUCAGUGAAUCAUCGAAUCUUUGAACGCACCUUGCGCCCUUUGGCUAUUCUGAAGGGCAUGCCUGUUUGAGUAUCAUGAACACCUCAACUCUCGUGGUCCGCCAUGAUGAGCUUGGACUUUGGGGGUCUUGCCGGCCUAGUGUCGGCUCCUCUCAAAUGGAUCAGCUUGCCAGUGUUUGGUGGCAUCCACGGUGUGAUAACUAUCUACGCUUGUGGUCCCCCGCCAUGCAACCUUCAGCGAUGGAGGUUCGCUGGAGCUCACAGAUGUCUCUCCUCGGCGAGGACAGCUUUUUGAACGUUUGAUCUCAAAUCAGGUAGGACUACCCCGCUGAACUUAAGCAUAUCAAUAAG
rnacentral:rRNA from 1 species